rnacentral:ncRNA from 2 species
GGGCUUUGUAGACUCAAGACUGCUGAGAAGAAUCAGGCAGUCAUGUAAAGGGGUUGAAGGCAUGUGUGUUUCCUUCCAGGAGUAUGAACUGUGUGAAGAGUGGGGCUGCCUGUACCCCAUUCCAAGAGAACAUUUAAUCAGCCUUCAUCAAAAGCAUCUUCUCCACCUUCUAGAAAGAAGAGAUCAUGACAAGGCUCUGCAACUCCUGCGAAGAAUCCCUGACCCCACCAUGUGCCUUGAAGUGACAGAGCAAUCCCUCGACCAGCACACUAGCUUGGCCACUUCUCACUUCUUGGCCAACUACCUCACCACCCACUUCUAUGGACAACUGACUGCUGUCCGACACCGUGAAAU